AAUUGGAUAGAUAGGUUUAUUAUGGGUUGAACAAUGGGGCAUAUGCAUGGGCUAAUGCAUGGUUGGUCUGAGCUAGCCAUAUAUCAUGCACUGUAUCUAAUCUCAUUCAUUCAAUUUUUUUUUCUCUUUAUGCUUUUUUCUAGCUACUUUGCUCAAUCAUAUUCAACUUCUUCAUCUGUGGUCCUAUCUCGAUUCAUCAUCUCAUCAAUUUCAUAUAUAAUACCUGCCAUCACCCUUUAUAAUGCUGCACCAGCUGUCUCCAUAAAUUUGGCAUCCAAAAUAAUGCUAUAUAUUAUAUAUUGUCAUUAAUAUUCAUGUACAUGUACGUACACCUUUGGAUCCAAGAAGAAUUAAUAUUGGAAAGCUAGCACCUUUAGAGCAGAUCAAGCUAAAUAAAUCUGUUGAUGGAUCUCAUACUUAAUUAUGCAUCUUAAUUAAUGAAAACCCUUGAACUUUUACAUAUAUUGUUGCAAAAUGGUAAGUAAUAAAGCUAGGAUUAUAUAAAAUAGGUGCAGCUUGGGUGCUGCCAAACACAUGGGGUGUGGGGCUGCAAGAAAGGCAGAUGUUAGAAGUAAUAGCUACAGCUCUGGAGAAAAGUUGGCAACUGCAGAGAUAAGGAGG
rnacentral:lncRNA from 1 species